AGCGAACGCUGGCGGCAGGCCUAACACAUGCAAGUCGAACGGACCUUUCGGGGUUAGUGGCGGACGGGUGAGUAACACGUGGGAACGUGCCUUUAGGUUCGGAAUAGCUCCUGGAAACGGGUGGUAAUGCCGAAUGUGCCCUUAGGGGGAAAGAUUUAUCGCCUUUAGAGCGGCCCGCGUCUGAUUAGCUAGUUGGUGAGGUAAUGGCUCACCAAGGCUAUGAUCAGUAGCUGGUCUGAGAGGAUGACCUGCCACAUUGGGACUGAGACACGGCCCAAACUCCUACGGGAGGCAGCAGUGGGGAAUCUUGCGCAAUGGGCGAAAGCCUGACGCAGCCAUGCCGCGUGGAUGAUGAAGGUCUUAGGAUUGUAAAAUCCUUUCACCGGUGAAGAUAAUGACUGUAGCCGGAGAAGAAGCCCCGGCUAACUUCGUGCCAGCAGCCGCGGUAA
rnacentral:rRNA from 1 species